GCAGAAUCCCGUGAACCAUCGAGUCUUUGAACGCAAGUUGCGCCCGACGCCAUUAGGCCGAGGGCACGUCUGCCUGGGUGUCACGCAGCGUCGCCACCGCCCUUCCCCAGGGGCGCGGCGGAUGAUGGCUUCCCGGGAGCCCCGUCUCCCGGCCUGCCGAAAGAGGGGCCCAACGUGGCGACCGCCACGAACCACGGUGGAUGAGUGAGCUACAAGCGCUCGAGGCCAAGGCGUGAGCGCGUCGUGCCGCGGUGCAAGGGCCCGGCAUGCCCAGACCCGUACGCGACCCCAGGUCAGGCGGGGCCACCCGCUGAGUUUA
rnacentral:rRNA from 1 species